ACUUAAAUUGAAGAGUUUGAUCAUGGCUCAGAUUGAACGCUGGCGGCAGGCCUAACACAUGCAAGUCGAGCGGUAGCACAGAGAGCUUGCUCUCGGGUGACGAGCGGCGGACGGGUGAGUAAUGUCUGGGAAACUGCCUGAUGGAGGGGGAUAACUACUGGAAACGGUAGCUAAUACCGCAUAACGUCGCAAGACCAAAGUGGGGGACCUUCGGGCCUCAUGCCAUCAGAUGUGGCCAGAUGGGAUUAGCUAGUAGGUGGGGUAACGGCUCACCUAGGCGACGAUCCCUAGCUGGUCUGAGAGGAUGACCAGCCACACUGGAACUGAGACACGGUCCAGACUCCUACGGGAGGCAGCAGUGGGGAAUAUUGCACAAUGGGCGCAAGCCUGAUGCAGCCAUGCCGCGUGUGUGAAGAAGGCCUUCGGGUUGUAAAGCACUUUCAGCGGGGAGGAAGGCGUUAAGGUUAAUAACCUUGGCGAUUGACGUUACCCGCAGAAGAAGCACCGGCUAACUCCGUGCCAGCAGCCGCGGUAAUACGGAGGGUGCAAGCGUUAAUCGGAAUUACUGGGCGUAAAGCGCACGCAGGCGGUCUGUCAAGUCGGAUGUGAAAUCCCCGGGCUCAACCUGGGAACUGCAUUCGAAACUGGCAGGCUAGAGUCUUGUAGAGGGGGGUAGAAUUCCAGGUGUAGCGGUGAAAUGCGUAGAGAUCUGGAGGAAUACCGGUGGCGAAGGCGGCCCCCUGGACAAAGACUGACGCUCAGGUGCGAAAGCGUGGGGAGCAAACAGGAUUAGAUACCCUGGUAGUCCACGCCGUAAACGAUGUCGAUUUGGAGGUUGUGCCCUUGAGGCGUGGCUUCCGGAGCUAACGCGUUAAAUCGACCGCCUGGGGAGUACGGCCGCAAGGUUAAAACUCAAAUGAAUUGACGGGGGCCCGCACAAGCGGUGGAGCAUGUGGUUUAAUUCGAUGCAACGCGAAGAACCUUACCUGGUCUUGACAUCCACAGAACUUUCCAGAGAUGGAUUGGUGCCUUCGGGAACUGUGAGACAGGUGCUGCAUGGCUGUCGUCAGCUCGUGUUGUGAAAUGUUGGGUUAAGUCCCGCAACGAGCGCAACCCUUAUCCUUUGUUGCCAGCGGUUCGGCCGGGAACUCAAAGGAGACUGCCAGUGAUAAACUGGAGGAAGGUGGGGAUGACGUCAAGUCAUCAUGGCCCUUACGACCAGGGCUACACACGUGCUACAAUGGCAUAUACAAAGAGAAGCGACCUCGCGAGAGCAAGCGGACCUCAUAAAGUAUGUCGUAGUCCGGAUUGGAGUCUGCAACUCGACUCCAUGAAGUCGGAAUCGCUAGUAAUCGUAGAUCAGAAUGCUACGGUGAAUACGUUCCCGGGCCUUGUACACACCGCCCGUCACACCAUGGGAGUGGGUUGCAAAAGAAGUAGGUAGCUUAACCUUCGGGAGGGCGCUUACCACUUUGUGAUUCAUGACUGGGGUGAAGUCGUAACAAGGUAACCGUAGGGGAACCUGCGGUUGGAUCACCUCCUUACCUUAAAGAA
rnacentral:rRNA from 1 species